CCCCCGCCUUGGCGGCGAGGCGGCGCGUGCGCGGUGGCUGCAAAAGGGCAACUGCUGAGCGCUGGUGUUCUUGGUCCCCCCUCCGCUGGAACGACCGCGGGCCCUGGAUGGCCUGCAGAACCAGGAAGUUAAGAUUCGGAGUUCACGGUGAAUUGUCUUAUUCACCUGGGAAUGAGUCUACGGGACUAAAACAAACCGCCUCGAGCUAGGCUCUAACCAGAGACCUCAAAACUAGAAACUGCAACAGAAAGCGAACCACUGGCCCGGACGCAUCCACGCGCUGGAUUCCGCUCCCUGGUCACUUGGUGUGAUGUGUGUGCAGAGGGUCAAGUAGUUGUGAACAGAGGUUAGGGCAUUCAGAUUGUGCCAGCUGAGAAAGUGAGAAAUGCUGAAGAAAGCAGCCCUUCUGGAGUUCCCUGGCGGCCUAGCGGUUAAGGAUUUCGCAUUGUCAUUGCUGUGGCUCGGGUUGGAUGCCUGGCUGGGGAACUUUCCCAUGCUCAGCAGGGCCAAAAGAAAAGGAAAAUAGACUUUCUCCAGCGCCUCUUCCUUCUCCCCACUCCCAUCGCUGUAUCUCCCACCUUACCCUCUGCUGGUUCCUGCACCCUCAGCCGGUAAACAAGACCAAGUCUCUCGCAACAAGAAUCACCUGAGACCCGGCAAUUCCACUCCCAAGUAUUAUUCAAGGGAAUUGGAAACAUAUCUGCGCAAAGACUUGUACACAGAUGUCAUUGCGUAUCCAUAAUGGCCAAAGAGUGGAAACAAUUGAAUGUCCAUCAUUUGAUGAAUGGAUAGAGCAGUUACGGUUUAGCCAUACUCUGGCGUUUCAUUGGGCGGUGAAAAAGAAUGAAAUAGUGAUCCAUGCUCUAAUAUGGGCAAACCUGACAAAACUGUUUGAAGGCAUCCUGUCACCCGAAGAGACUCUGAGGAUCAUGACCCAGCCCUGUCUGCCCCUCCCGCAUCUCCUCGCCCCACUCCCUGCCUGGCGCAUCCGAAUUACUUGGAGUUUCAUGGAAACUGGCUGAGAGAGGUCACGUGCCUUCGCGAGUCUUCUCCGAGUAGACUAGCCUUUCCUCUCUUCCCCUAGGUAACUUCAACCAUCCUCUGAGGGGGUCUCCUCCUUCGCAGAGCCUUCCCCAGCUCUCCGGGUUCCCAACACCCUGCUUCCUCUGUGUUUUCAAAGCACCCUCUUCUUCCAGAUAUUACUGAAUGCAAUGUAGCAUUUUUCUUAUCCAUUGAAUUAAGCCUCUCCCACUUGUCAUAGAGCUCCUCGAGAGCCAUGCCCUCCUCUUCCUCAUCCUCAGUGCCUAGCUUGGUGCCCGGCACAUAGUAGGCACUCAGAGCCUGCCUUCCUUCCUUCUUCUUUGCCUCUGUAAUUCCUGAAUAAGUGACUGGGAUCUCAUUGGGGGACAUUAGCAAGCAUUUUUCCCAGAAAAAUGAAAGCAAAACUUCAGGCCAAAACAUCUCAUACAGGUCGCCCCAAAACCAUUAUUUCACCUACAAAAUGUCUUCCAGCCAGAAGACAACUAAAACCUCGGUAAGACAAAGGACAUGAAUUUCAAUGAUAUAGCUCUCUUUUUUUGUCUUUUUGAGCUCUCAUCUUUAAAAUCUACUCGUUCUCCCCUGAAAGCCUUCAUGGCUUACUAAGAUGCAAAAUUAAAUAACUCAAACAAUUGUACUCAUUAUCGUAACUAAAGAGCAAGGUGUGUUUGGGCUUAUUUGUAAUCACAGCUGAAGAAUAACCUGAACCUAACGAGCAGCUCCAGAGUUCCGCUUCAAUGUCUGUUGGGAAGCACAGGCUGCCUUAGGAGGGUUAUGUAACCAUCCAUAUGCAGCGGCUGAGUGAGGAGAGCCAGGCUCUAGUUUCACCCUGGCCACACGCAUCUGCGUGACCUCGGAGCGUUCGCUGCCCUCGGAUGCUUGCAGUCAGCCUCUUCAGGAUCCCUUUCUCCACUGUCCCACCAUCAGAACCACAACGUUUCUUUGGAAAACCACUUUUUUCUCCAUUCUAAUCCAUGGGGUCUUGCUUAACCUGACCUCAAACUCCAGGAGCCAGGCCUGGUCCCAUAAAGCAAUCAUUCCGUUUUCUCUCUUUUCAAAGGCGGACAUGAAACCCGGUCAAGGCAAUGAGAUUUGAGAAGACAUUUCCAGGGCUUCUGACAAAAAGAUUCCUCUCUGCUAUAUAGCUUCUAUCAAUGAUGUAAGGUCUAGAAUUAAUGCAGCCACAUGUGACAACAAGGAUAGAGACUAAAUUACCAGACAGUGAAGGAAUCCUGAGAAAGGCAGAAUGGGAAACUGGAAAAGGAACAGAACCUCAGUUACAUUGUUGAGCAGUGAGCAGCUAGAUCAAGACACACCUGAAGCUCUUCCUCCAUACUUGCCAGUUAUAUGAGCCUCUUGGAUAAAUAAUAAUUGAAUUGAAUAAAUUCCCUUCAUUGUUGGAGCUUAGUUUUCUGUCUAUAACUCAAAUUGUCCUAACAAUACCACUUAGCAAUCUCUGUGGGCCUCCAUUUUCUCAUAAAUGAAAUAAAGGUAAAAAUUCUGCCA